rnacentral:rRNA from 1 species
GCUGGCGGUAUGCUUUACACAUGCAAGUCGAACGGGCUUGGGGGCUUGCUCCCAAGUUAGUGGCGAACGGGUGAGUAAUAUAUCGGAACAUAUCCGGAAGUGGGGGAUAACGUAGCGAAAGUUACGCUAAUACCGCAUAUGCCCUGAGGGGGAAAGGGGGGGAUCGCAAGACCUCUCGCUUUCGGAGUGGCCGAUAUCGGAUUAGCUAGAUGGUGAGGUAAAGGCUCACCAUGGCGACGAUCCGUAGCUGGUCUGAGAGGACGACCAGCCACACUGGAACUGAGACACGGUCCAGACUCCUACGGGAGGCAGCAGUGGGGAAUUUUGGACAAUGGGCGAAAGCCUGAUCCAGCCAUACCGCGUGAGUGAAGAAGGCCUUCGGGUUGUAAAGCUCUUUCAGCCGGAAAGAAAUUGCUUCCAUUAAUACUGGGAGUAGAUGACGGUACCGGAAGAAGAAGCACCGGCUAACUACGUGCCAGCAGCCGCGGUAAUACGUAGGGUGCGAGCGUUAAUCGGAAUUACUGGGCGUAAAGCGUGCGCAGGCGGUUUUAUAAGCCAGAUGUGAAAUCCCCGGGCUCAACCUGGGAACUGCAUUUGGAACUGUAAGACUAGAGUAUAGCAGAGGGGGGUAGAAUUCCACGUGUAGCAGUGAAAUGCGUAGAUAUGUGGAGGAAUACCAAUGGCGAAGGCAGCCCCCUGGGUUAAUACUGACGCUCAUGCACGAAAGCGUGGGGAGCAAACAGGAUUAGAUACCCUGGUAGUCCACGCCCUAAACGAUGUCAACUAGGUGUUGGGGGAGGAGACUUCCUUAGUACCGUAGCUAACGCGU